rnacentral:rRNA from 1 species
AAUAAACGUUGGCGGCGUGCUUAACACAUGCAAGUCGAGCGAGAAACUCCUUCGGGAGUGAGUACAGCGGCGGACGGGUGAGUAACACGUGAGUAUCUGCCUAUCAGUGAGGAAUACCUUCGAGAAAUCGAAGUUAAUACUGCAUACGUUCCUUCGGGAAGAAGGUGGCUUUAUGCUGCCGCUGAUAGAUGAGCUUGCGGACUAUCAGCUAGUUGGUGAGGUAAUGGCUCACCAAGGCUAUGACGGUUAGCCGGCCUGAGAGGGUGUACGGCCACAUUGGGGACUGAGAUACGGCCCAGACUCCUACGGGAGGCUG